rnacentral:rRNA from 1 species
GAUGAACGCUAGCGGCAGGCCUAAUACAUGCAAGUCGAACGAUAGAAGAGGGCUUGCUCUCUUCGAAAGUGGCGCACGGGUGCGUAACGCGUAUGCAUCCUACCUUAAUCAGGGGGAUAGCCCGAAGAAAUUCGGAUUAACACCGCAUAAAAUCACAGUACAGCAUUGUACAAUGAUCAAAUAUUUAUAGGAUUAAGAUGGGCAUGCGGGACAUUAGCUAGUUGGCGGGGUAACGGCCCACCAAGGCGACGAUGUCUAGGGGAUCUGAGAGGAUGACCCCCCACACUGGUACUGAGACACGGACCAGACUCCUACGGGAGGCAGCAGUAAGGAAUAUUGGUCAAUGGAGGCAACUCUGAACCAGCCAUGCCGCGUGCAGGAAGACAGCCCUCUGGGUCGUAAACUGCUUUUAUUCGGGAAUAAACCUACUUACGUGUAAGUAGCUGAAUGUACCGAAGGAAUAAGGAUCGGCUAACUCCGUGCCAGCCGCCGCAGUAA